rnacentral:rRNA from 1 species
UGAGGAAUAUUGGUCAAUGGGGGCAACCCUGAACCAGCCAAGUCGCGUGAAGGAUGAAGGUCUUAUGGAUUGUAAACUUCUUUUAUACAGGAAUAAAUUGGGGGACGUGUCCCCUUUUGCAUGUACUGUAUGAAUAAGGAUCGGCUAACUCCGUGCCAGCAGCCGCGGUAAUACGGAGGAUCCGAGCGUUAUCCGGAUUUAUUGGGUUUAAAGGGUGCGCAGGCGGGAUGUUAAGUCGGCGGUGAAAUUUUGCAGCUCAACUGUAAAAGUGCCUUCGAUACUGGCUUCCUUGAGUGUGGAUGAAGUAGGCGGAAUUUGUGGUGUAGCGGUGAAAUGCUUAGAUAUCACGAGGAACUCCGAUUGCGCAGGCAGCUUACUAAGCCACAACUGACGCUCAUGCACGAAGGCGUGGGGAUCAAAC